GGAAUAUUGUGCAAUGAGCGAAAGCUUGACACAGCGACACCGCGUGUGGGAUGACGGUUCUAGGAUUGUAAACCACUUUCAGGAGGGAAGAAAAUGACGGUACCUCCACAAGAAGCCCCGGCCAACUACGUGCCAGCAGCCGCGGUAAUACGUAGGGGGCGAGCGUUGUCCGGAUUUAUUGGGCGUAAAGAGCUCGUAGGCGGUUCAACAAGUCGGUCGUGAAAGUUUAGGGCUUAACCCUGAAAUGUCGAUCGAUACUGUUGUGACUAGGAUAUGGUAGAGGUGAAUGGAAUUCCGAGUGUAGCGGUGAAAUGCGUAGAUAUUCGGAGGAACACCAAUUGCGAAGGCAGUUCACUGGACCAUUAUCGACGCUCAGGAGCGAAAGCUAGGGGAGCAAACAGG
rnacentral:rRNA from 1 species